rnacentral:rRNA from 1 species
UACAGAGGGUGCGAGCGUUGUCCGGAAUCACUGGGCGUAAAGGGCGCGUAGGUGGCGACCCAAGUCCGUGGUGAAAGCUCGCCGCUUAACGGCGAGUCGGCCACGGAUACUGGGUGGCUCGAGCACUGUAGGGGCAGAUGGAAUUCCGGGUGUAGCGGUGGAAUGCGUAGAGAUCCGGAAGAACACCGGUGGCGAAGGCGGUUAGCUGGGCAGUUGCUGACACUGAGGCGCGACAGCGUGGGGAGCAAACAGG